UAGGGAAUCUUCGGCAAUGGACGAAAGUCUGACCGAGCAACGCCGCGUGAGUGAAGAAGGUUUUCGGAUCGUAAAACUCUGUUGUUAGAGAAGAACAAGGACGUUAGUAACUGAACGUCCCCUGACGGUAUCUAACCAGAAAGCCACGGCUAACUACGUGCCAGCAGCCGCGGUAAUACGUAGGUGGCAAGCGUUGUCCGGAUUUAUUGGGCGUAAAGCGAGCGCAGGCGGUUUCUUAAGUCUGAUGUGCAAGCCCCCGGCUCAACCGGGGAGGGUCAUUGGAAACUGGGAGGCUUGAGUGCAGAAGAGGGGAGUGGAAUUCCAUGUGUAGCGGUGAAAUGCGUAGAUAUAUGGAGGAACACCAGUGGCGAAGGCGGCUCUCUGGUCUGUAACUGACGCUGAGGCUCGAAAGCGUGGGGAGCAAACAGG
rnacentral:rRNA from 1 species